rnacentral:rRNA from 1 species
AACGAACGCUGGCGGCGUGCUUAACACAUGCAAGUCGAACGGAAAGGCCCUACUAUUUUGGUGUGCCCGAGUGGCGAACGGGUGAGUAACACGUGAGUAACCUACCCUAGACUUUGGGAUAACUUAACGAAACUGGGCCUAAUACCGGAUAGGAGCUCAUGCUGCAUUGAGUGGUUUGGAAAGUAUCAGCGGUUGGGGAUGAACUCGCGGCUUAUCAGCUUGUUGGUGGGGGAGUGGCUUACCAAGGGAUUGACGGAUAGCCGGCCUGAGAGGGUGACCGGCCCCAUUGGGACUGAGAUACGGCGCAGACUCCUACGGGAGACACCAGUGGGGAGUCUGGCACAAUGGGCGCACGCCUGAUGCAAAACCGCCGCGUGCGGGAUGACGGCCUUCGGGUUGAAAAACGCUUUCGACUGAGACGACGCGUUUGUGACGGUAAUCAGAAAAGAAGCACCGGCUAACUUCGUG